UUAUGGUGUAUCAUACACUGAGCUACCCACCUGUGUCACUUUUGUUUGAUUUGAAGCCUUCCGUGAGAUUUUGGGUUUGGGCGAUAUCCACAAACCACCAUACAACGGGAGUCAGCGGGGCACAGACUUUAAAUCCGUCGUACACGCAUAAACAGUAUUUUCUUAUUUUGUUUAGGGUCAUACAAUUACGUUUCCGCCUCAUUUCAAUAUUUAAAUCUCCCGGGUUCAGUGAACGAAUUAAAAAUCUGUAUUGACUGAGGUGUGCCACGUCAUCUUUCUGCGACGCUCAUUCUGACAGCCAGGAGCCAGCCAACUCUGCUACGGCAGUCGGCAACAUGAUAAAGUAACAAGAAGCAAACGUUGAAGCUCUCGGUUUUUAACAGUUCUUCGGCUAGAACUUUGCUAUGGGUUGAAUGUGCGCAUAUACUGGAUGCUGAAACUAAACGACAAGCUUUAUGAAACCGUGGCAUUUUGCGUUGAGAUGGAAAAGGAACGCGCCACACUCUCCUGGAUACGAGGCUACGUGUGUGCGGCUUUUGCGCCAAAGGUCUUUCUACCAGCAAAGCAAAAUAGCAGGACAGAAGUGACAGCGUCAGAAAGAAAACAAUGCUGUUCCGAUUGCUGAUGGAGACAACAGAGGAAGGUGCCAAGUAACUCUGGAGGAUAUUCUCGCCAUGACGAAUCGAGCUGGUAUCAACAUUCUUCGAAGUUGAAUCGGAGAGUAUAGCCAAAACUCACAGGAACACACAGCUUUCAAUUGAGAAAUGCUGUACACAGCGCCCAGCGCCCUGGGAGCUGAACGUCUGCGGCCAGGUUACAGUACAGAAGGGUCAUCCAAGGUGCAUCAUGACCCUCAUCCAUCUCCCACCAUACCAUAUGCUGG